GACGAACGCUGGCGGCGUGCCUAAUACAUGCAAGUCGAGCGGAUCUUCUCCUUCGGGAGAAGGUUAGCGGCGGACGGGUGAGUAACACGUAGGCAACCUGCCCACAAGACCGGGAUAACAUUCGGAAACGAAUGCUAAGACCGGAUACGCAACUUGGUCGCAUGACUGGGUUGGGAAACACGGUGCAAGCUGUGGCUUGUGGAUGGGCCUGCGGCGCAUUAGCUAGUUGGUGAGGUAACGGCCCACCAAGGCGACGAUGCGUAGCCGACCUGAGAGGGUGAACGGCCACACUGGGACUGAGACACGGCCCAGACUCCUACGGGAGGCAGCAGUAGGGAAUCUUCCACAAUGGACGCAAGUCUGACCGAGCAACGCCGCGUGAGUGAUGAAGGUUUUCGGAUCGUAAAACUCUGUUGUUAGAGAAGAACAAGAGAAGUAGUAACUGGCUUCUCCUUGACGGUAUCUAACCAGAAAGCCACGGCUAACUACGUGCCAGCAGCCGCCGUAAUAC
rnacentral:rRNA from 1 species